GACUUCCUCAGGUACUGGACAAAAUUGGACACCCGGCCUCCCAUCUUGGUUGUUCUUCCCCUGCUGCAUACCCAGACGCCUUGGAUUGACGGCUCCUGUAGACAAUAAAAAUGCAGCAAACAACUAUGAAAAGACAGACUAAAAUGAAAGUGCAUACAAGGGCAACUCCCACAAUGCUCAUAC